GCUAUUUAUGACCUUUGAGAGGUCAAGCGGUGUCAUAAUUCAUUAUAUUACUCAAUUAGUCUCGAACAAUGUAAAGUAGCCAUACCUUUAGCCGACCAUAACUUCGGCCCCUUUGGACAUAUCUUUUUCGCAAUAGUCUUAUUCGAACCGGAAUCCAAAACACUAUCUAGAGUCAUAUUUUCAAGCUUGUGUCUUCAGAUUUGCAUCUUUUACUUCGGUAUUACAAAAUAUUUAUAUUUUUAGCUGGCCCGCAAAACCGAAAUACAAUUGCAAAUUGAAUCAUCAAAACAAAGCAAAUCAUCGUCAGCCUUUAUUAGCUUCUGAUAGUUAGGCUUGCCGAGCCCCGGCAACGAAAAGAAAUGCCUCUCGUAAUCCUCUGUUCUACAAUGAUCCGAGCAUAUAGUCGAAGUCUUUGACGGCACAAACAAACCCUUUGCGCAUACAAAAUCAACCCAUACUAGUUCUUUUUUUAGCUUCCGCGUGUUCGUCAUUGAAGUAUGGAAUAUUGUGUAGACUUAUUCCAUCUUUUAAACAUACUUUAUUGGUACAGUUAGCUGCAACACAGUAAAAAGGCAUAUCUUUUUCGAUCACAAAUCUACUUAUAUAUCCGCCGAGAGUUCAUAGUACUAGUAUAGUCGAAUGAAAGAAUAUACGCCGACUCACUUGCGUGACGUAACAAAAAUCGCUCGUUCCAGUUUCCUUCGAACACGGACGCCUGCCAACCAAAAGCCCAAAUUUUUUGUGUUCAAACGGCUCUAAAAUUUUUUCGUUUUGAUGAAAUCGAAAAAUUCUUUCGCUAGAGCACUAUACGAAAUGAGUACUUUCAAUAGACUGAAAAAAAAAUUUUGUGUCAGGGGCACUUUAA